GAUGAACGCUGGCGGCGUGCCUAAUACAUGCAAGUCGAGCGAACGGACGAGAAGCUUGCUUCUCUGAUGUUAGCGGCGGACGGGUGAGUAACACGUGGAUAACCUACCUAUAAGACUGGGAUCACUUCGGGAAACCGGCUCUAAUACCGUAUAAUAUUUUGAACCGCAUGGUUCAAAAGUGAAAGACGGUCUUGCUAUCACUUAUAGAUGGAUCCGCGCUGCAUUAGCUAGUUGGUAAGGUAACGGCUUACCAAGGCAACGAUGCAUAGCCGACCUGAGAGGGGGAUCGGCCACACUGGAACUGAGACACGGCCCAGACUCCUACGGGAGGCAGCAGUAGGGAAUCUUCCGCAAUGGGCGAAAGCCUGACGGAGCAACGCCGCGGGAGGGAUGAAGGUCUUCGGAUCGUAAAACUCUGUUAUUAGGGAAGAACAUAUGUGUAAGUAACUGUGCACAUCUUGACGGUACCUAAUCAGAAAGCCACGGCUAACUACGUG
rnacentral:rRNA from 1 species